rnacentral:piRNA from 1 species
ACCUAUUGCCUAAGCAUAGAUAUAUCAGGG